rnacentral:rRNA from 1 species
GACGAACGCUGGCGGCGUGCUUAACACAUGCAAGUCGAACGGAAAGGCCCUGCUUUUGUGGGGUGCUCGAGUGGCGAACGGGUGAGUAACCCGUGAGUAACCUGCCCUUGACUUUGGGAUAACUUCAGGAAACUGGGUCUAAUACCGGAUAGGAGCUCCUGCUGCAUGGUGGGGGUUGGAAAGUUUCGGCGGUUGGGGAUGGACUCGCGGCUUAUCAGGUUGUUGGUGGGGUAGUGGCUUACCAAGGCUUUGACGGGUAGCCGGCCUGAGAGGGUGACCGGCGACAUGGGGACUGAGAGAGGGAGCAGAAUCGAACGGGAGGCAGAAGUGGGGAAUAUUGCACAAUGGGCGGAAGCCUGAUGCAGAAACGCCGGGUGCGGGAUGAGGGCCUUCGGGUUGUAAACCGCUUUCGACUGAGACGAAGCGUGAGUGACGGUAAUGGGAAAAGAAGCACCGGCUAACUACGUG